AUGCCUUGUUUCCUUUCUCCUUCAGGAGAUUUCUUCAAUCAACAUAGCCCAGCAGCAACUCACCCACCCACACCUGGACAUGUCAGCGUUGCACAAACCACCAACCCACUGAGCCCACAGCUCGGGAGCAGCUCCAGGACGCGCACGUCCGUGGCUGACUGGGACUGGGUUCCUUGUCUUCCCUCGCACACCCUUCACAUGCAGACCACGCAGGUCGUCUCGUCAGGAGGCAGUGGUGCCCUCCUGCCUUGGCCACACAGAAAUGCACAUGGAAAACCAAAACCCACGAGAGCCCGACUGCAGUCCGCGCACCAGGCACCUUGCCUGGCGGGCACUUCAGCUCUCGGGUCCCUGGACACGAGGUGUGCAAGUGUGCCUGUGAAAGACCCUAGACCCAGGCAGAGACCUGGGGGACAGCAAAGCCACUCCCCUCCCUCGGCUACAAAACAGGGCGCCACAGCGAAGACUGCGUGUGACGGCCACGGCAGACACGGCCCCUCACGCAGCUGUCAACAUCAACCUGAAAUUCGCUACUUUUGCCCCCUCUCCAAGAGCCUCGUUUCCUGGGACCAGUCUCAGCAGCGCAGUGUCCACGCGGGGAGUCACCCCGAAGACCGGCUUUCCAUAGCUGGAGGGAGGCGAGGAUGGUCUGAGUCUCUGUUGUGGGGGUGGGGGGCUCUCCCAAGUGAAGCACUGAGGAAACUUGUGGUGUUUAGCAGACAGGGCGUGGCACCGAGAGACAGCCACAUGCAGGGUUCUGUCUGCGGCUCUGGGCACAGGCACAGCCAUGAGCGAGGGCCGCAGGCAGGGAGCAGGCGGGGACUCCCCAGGCCAGGGCGUCACCCAGAGGCAAGUGCUAAGGAACAGCCCGCAGAGGUGCUGCGCCGCUGGACGGUCACCGCGGCGGGUGGGGGUGGGGUGGGGGGAGCGGUGGCAAAGCUGCUCCUCCUCGAGGAGCGCCUUCCAGCAGAGGGCCCUUGGACAACCAGAUUCCUGAGAGCGGAGCCCGGCUCGGCUAGGGCCUCUCACGCCUUGCCUGGCCCUGCAGGCCCCACCACGGAGCAGGCUUCAGGGGCAGAGCCUCCGACCUAG
rnacentral:lncRNA from 1 species